UUACUUUCACUCUUGGCCGACCCCCUCUCUCUCCCAAACCCUCUUAUUAUUUCAAGUUGAAUUUGAAGAAAAGCUUGGUUCUUAGCUUGUUUUGGAGCUUUGAAGUUGUGAAUUCUUGAGCUUGGAGUUGAGGAUUACCGGCACCUGGUCAGGAGCACCCGGGGAUUCGAAAUCUCUGCCUUUGCGGGACAACAGGAAAGGGUAAGUCAGUGGCUGAUCAACCAUGAGUUUGAGGAGCAAGAUGAAGAAUGUACAUGUUCAAGCCAUAUCAGACCAAGCGGGUUAAGGGUCUAUCAGUGAUGAACUUUUGAAUUCUAUUUUGCCGUUUAGGUCGGCUAGAAAUAAAUGACUUGUAAUAGCGUUUGUAAAUAUUUUUGGGAUCCCAACUAUUUUAAAAGUUUUAAAUAUAUUACAAGUUUAUUUUCUUUCUGUUUAAUAUAAAAGUUUAAAUUCUGCGCUA